rnacentral:rRNA from 1 species
CAGCGCCACGAGUGGGGAUCACUUUUAUUGGGCCUAAAGCGUCCGUAGCCGGUUUUGUAAAUUCUUUGUGAAAUUGUUAAGCCUAACUUAACAGCGAGCAGGGAACACUGCAAAACUAGAGACCGGGAGGAGUUAGAGGUAUGUUUGGGGGAGCGGUAAAAUGCUAUAAUCCCUAACAGACCACCUGUGGUGAAGACGUCUAACUAGAACGGAUCUGACGGUGAGGGACGAAAGCCAGGGGAGCGAACCGGAUUAGAUACCCGAGUAGUCC